rnacentral:lncRNA from 1 species
UAGAAUGACACCGUGAAAAAAGUUGUCAAUGUAUUCACAUGUGAUCAUUUUCUGGUAAGCAUAUUUCUCAUAGCUAUUCUAUUUAAUUUAAAUAUAGGAAAUGCAAUCAAAUAACGCUUUUUAAAUUAAUGUUUUGAAUCUUAUUUUACUAUAUUAUAAAACCCCGAAGAUUUGUAUUCUAUUUCCUUAUUUUUUGGUGUCUGAUAUCUGAUAAUAGACGGUACAAAUAAAGUCAAACAUUCUCUUGUCCUGUGAUAUUUCUCUGGGACGAAUGUCACUCUAAAUGCAAUCUCGCAGUUUUUACACCUGAUAGAUUAAAACAGUUACAAAACGAAAGGAAUUAUUAAAGAUCACGGUAGGUAUAGUGUCCGGCUAGGAUCGUGGUUUUUCGAGUGAUUUGAUCGGGCUUUUUCGAGUGAUUAUGAUAAAAAAUGUAAACAAACAGACUUCCUUUCUGUCAAGACGUGAUAUAAACGCUUGAGUUUAACAUUCACGGGUGUGUCAGUAUUUAAGAUAAAAAUAUCUUAUCAAUCCGAUAUUAUUUUUGUUAAAAAAGUUUGAAUUUAGCUGUACAAUGCUUUUAUUCCAAAAAACAGAAUAAAGGCAAUUUCAUACACACAUUAAUGCAAAUUUCGAUGAAAAUGCAUACAUAGAAUCCUUAUUUUCUAUAGAUAUACAGACAUUUUAAAAAAUCUUGUUAUUGCAUUGAAAACGACAUUUGUAGACUAAAUUCAUUUCUAUGUGUUCGGUUUUUUUUUCGAGAGCACUCCGGGCUUAUUCGAGUGCGUCCGUGUUUUAUUGAGUGAUUAUACAAAUUUCCUAUAGCUUAAAAUGUUAAAUGUCAGUGUAUUUACGUUUAAAAACAAUAAAAAAGAGUUCAAGAUGUGUACUUUUCAAGGCACAAAACCAAAGCAUUCAUUAGUUUGAUAAUGGUGUACAACGAUUAAACUUUAUAAACAAGUAUCGUACAUUUUUAUAUAUUGUUGUUUGUCACUUCUUAUAAAUUACAUGUUCAUUAUAUAUUCAUGAUGACAACAAUCUAAUGAAAGCAUAGACAAUUUGGAUUGAGACGUUCAAAUAUUACUUACAUAUAUUGUGUUGAGCUGAUGAACUAUUCAUUUCAUUGUUAACUGUCUAUAUAAUUAUGAAAUUUAAUUCAAAUUUUAUUUUAAAAGGGAAUAAAAACUGGUCGGAUUUAGUGUGUGUAUGUUUUUGCUUUUGUUUCUUAUGAUUUUAUUUUGUGGAGGCAGGGAUCAGACUUCUUUCGUUAGAAUACUUUUAUUACAUAGCAUUUUUCUGAUUCUUUUCUGCUGUCCAGGUUUCUUACUGCGUUUUUGGUAAACAGCUGCGCCAUGAGCGAAUACUACGCCCGUAGUUUUCAAAGAAUAAAGUUCAUUCACUUAUGUUGUGGCUUAUUAUCUAUAUCUUGCAUGAAUAGACAUUUCACGUAGCACACUGUAACGUACAGAGUGUGAUACGAAAAUCUGCGUUAAUUUGAUUUGCUUUUCCAGGAUCAUAUUAAGAUGAUAUUACGGCAUCUCAUUGGCUAUUCGUUAGGUCAUUUAUGAUAAUGGUAUACCGUUUGAUAUCAACUCUCGUUAUUUAAUUCCAAUAAAAUAAACUCGCCGUAUUAUAGUGAAAUUAAAUAACUAGAGUUAAUAUCAAGCGAUAUUCGUUCUCACUUGUUAUGAAACCUAUAGAUAAUUUCUCAAUUUCAUAUCAAACAUUUAUUAAAAACUUCAGGAAGGUUACGUAUACAUUAAUCUAUGUAAAUCCGUCACCAAAGUGUCGUGAAAAUUUUCAAAAGUUCUUUAAAAAUAUAGUCUAAAAACUGUAAAAUCAUCCCUUUUUAGCUCAUCGGACCAAAAAGGGUCAAAUGAUUUUUCCAUCACUUGCUGUGCGUCUCUGUCCGUCUUCAUCGUCCGUUUACUUUUACAAAAAUCAUGUGUCCGCUGAAUCUACUAGACCAAGUUCAUUAUAGAUAGAGAAAACUGUAAACAGCAAUAAUGUUUAGUAAAGUAAGAAUAACAAGCAAGUCACCAUCACCAAAAUAGAGAAUUUGGUCAUAAAUUCUAUUCUGGUCUUGAAUGUUGCAGAGUGUUCUUUUGUUUAACAUGCACUGCAACACAUAGACCAAGGUGAGCGACACAGACUCUUUAGAGCCUCUAGUUUGUUUAAUAAAAUCCAAUAACUCGGAAACGUAAAAUCUAUAAUUUAUAAAAUCAGAAAGGGUGAAUACCUAAAUAGAUAUAAAUAUUGAAGAUUCGUGUUACAGCGUUUGUGAGUUAUUUUCCGACAUGCUGACGAUGCUGACGAUGCUGACGAUGGACGGACAACGGUAUACCAUAGUUAAAAAUAUUAUUUACUAUGACAACAAAAGAACCAUGAAAUGAAGUUGAAAAGAUAAUGAGUCCCUGCACUAUGUUCUAAAGACCUUUUUACGAAGGAUCCAAUAAUUUCUAAUUUAACAAUUGAAAGUAGUGGGAGAACGUUUUCCGGUCAGAAUUAAAUUGAAAUAGGUCAAUUUUGAUCAUAGUAGUAAUAUGGUUUUGUGAUUUGUUGGGAAGAUAUGAUUUUGUCUUUCACUUGAUUACUGUUAUAAACUAUAAAAAAGUCAUUUUUUCAAGUCAAGAAUACUUUUUUUUUAUUCACAAUUUUCUUGGAAAAAAACAGAACCAUUUGUUAAAAAACCCGGAUGAUUUCACAGUUGCUCUCGAAAAGGCCCAGACAAUAAUAAACACUCAUUGUAUUUGUUAGAUACAAGGAAAUUGUGCUUCUUUGUUGAUCAAACAUGUAUAGUAAUCAAAAUAAGUUGAUAGUCAUGAAACUAUUAUAAUUACGAAAUAGCAGUUAAUUGACCUUAUCGCAUGUCUUUUUCACUCGAACAAAAACCCGGAACGAAUCACGAGAAAAACCACGAUACUAGCCGGACACUAUACCUACCGUAAAUAUAAACCCGAAUAAACAUCUUUCAAAUCUGUAAUUACAGGACAGGGAAGGACAAUUUGUUACUUUUUUACCCACAUAAGUACAUCUAUACUACUCAAGGAAUAAGUACAUCUAUACUACUCAAGGAAAAGAACGACUGUGAAACCUUACAAAGUCGGAAAUAUUUGUGAUAUGAAGUAUAAAUAAUUAAAAUAGAAAAAAGGAAAUCACAAAAUACUGAACCUUGAGGAAAAUUAUAAAACGGAAAGUCCCUAAUCAAUGGCAAAAUUAAAGAAACAGAUUUGUUUUUAUUUAACCAUGGGUUGGGCAAUUAUAUUCGAUUAUUUUACCCUGAGCGUUAGGUAAAAAUGUCAAAAAUAAAACAAACAAAUAUAUAACAAAGAAGCGCAAGAGGCAUAUAUAUAUUAGUAGAUAAAGCACAUAAGCAAAAAUGAAAGUCAACGAAUAGAAACAGUUUUACAAUAACACAAUGACGGAAUGUAUAGGUACAGAGCCACGUCACAUGUAUUAAAAAAACACAAAAAUGCAAUAUACAAAGCACAUUAGCAAAAAAGAGACAAGAACAAACAUUACCAUAGAACAAUAACAGAAAAUGAUAGGAUGUACAAGUACAGAGUCACGACAAAUACCGGUAGUUAUAAAGGUACCAGGAUUAUAAUUGAUUACGCCAGACACGCGUUUCGUCUACAUAAGACUCAUCAGUGACGCUCAUAUCAAAAUAAUUAUAAAGCCAAACAAGUACCAAUUUGAGGAGCAUUGAGGAUUCAAAAUUUCAAAAAGUUGUGCCAAAUACGGCUUAGGUCAUCUAUGCCUGGGAUAAGAAAAUCCUUAGUUUUUCGAAAAAUUCAAAGUAUUGUAAACAGGAUUUAAAAAAGAAAAAUAUCACAAAAAAAAAAAAAAAACAACCCCAGACUACACAGUAAAAGCAAUAUUUAUAAAGACAAAUAAAAGAAUAUUAUAACACGUUAUUAAGAUGAUACAACAUCAGUACCCAUAAUCUAUACUUCAAGACCAUCCUGUAUUAUUUUGAAGUUGAUACGAGAUAUAUUGUCAACAAGGUCUUGGUACCUUCCGACGAACUUAAUAAGGAAAAGGACAAGACGUUCUUUGACAUACCCCUGGUUCAUCAACUUUCUACGUAGACAUUCGUGGUGUUUUACAAAGUCUGAGUAGAAGUUGCGAGCACUUGAAUAUCGAAUAAGUUUGGGAAUGCAUAUCCCAUAUGCAGGUGAAGUUGGUAUAUUGCUACUAAGGUGGGAGAAAUUGAUCAUUGCAAAAUUGAAAUCGUCUCAUUUGCCAUAGAUUAUGAUACAUAGAUGACCUUUGUAAAUGCAGUGUUUUAUACUACAUAAAUUUAAUUGUCUUUGAAACAAUCUUUUUCUGCAGAAUUUAGAUCUACAUAGAUGGUAAUGCAUGAUAAAAAGCUAAUUUUGACUGUAAUAUGGCAAUAUAUAGACGAAAUCGUAUAAAUUUAUUUAGUAAUUUAUUGUUUUCAAUGUUUCGUUUUUUCUUAAUAACCAGAUGUGUUGAGAUAUAUCAUGGCUUUAUUCAUUCCGUGUGAACCGUGUGGUCACGAAGGGAACACACAGAAUGCAGAGAAAUGGUGCACGGAUUGCAAUGAAGGGUUUUGUAAUGUAUGUGAAAGGGCACACAAGUCACUGAGAAUUACGAGAGACC